ACAGGGAUUUGAACCGCCGACCUUCUGAUCAGCAAGCCCUAGGCUCUGUGGUUUAACCCACAGCGUCACCUGGAAAAGGUUAAUGAUAAUUCCUGAAUCUGGUCUUGAUUGAGGAGAAGUUUCCAUGCGUGCCUGAACAAGGCUUGUAAUGGUCUCCAUUACUUAAAACAGUCAGCUUGGCUUUGAGACCUAAAUUAAUUGCUAUUUGUUUCUUGGUUCUCGGCAAUAUAAUUGCCUUCUUAUGUAGAGGGAAAAGAAAGACACUCUUCUGCUGCGGUACUGCUAAAUGUGUUAGGGCAGGGAACAUCUAUCUGCACUAGUUGGGAUCUCCCCCCACCCCCAUGCAGAUGAACUUGAUUUUGCUUUUUAAAAGCUUUACUUGUUCCAGCUUCUCUCUCCUUCAGAUCCUAGUGAUGUUUAUAAAUACACAGGCCAUCAGUGCUACUUCACUCCCGCCCAGUGCACACAUUGGAUGGAUCAUUACAUGUCUAAAAUAGAAACAGCUCUGUAUUCUGUUAUGUGAGGAGUGCAGGGUUGGAGGAUAUUUUGGAACUCACUGGAAGCCAGCAUGGCACUAUAGCAAGUGUGUUUUGCGGGGCUGGUGGCUGUUGGUGGUUUUUUGCUUUUGUAACAGCUGCAGGGCACAGCCACCAGUUUCAGAGGGACAGGUUGUGAUGAGUAUUGAAGCGUGCUGCUUAAAUAUUGCAGGGCCAAACUUUCAGAGGACCGAGGCCAAACGGUUCUGCUGUGUUACGGUGACUUCAAAGUCAUGUGGCUGAACUACAGGCAUCUUGUUCACAUAAAAAGUACAUGGCAUUGAUGAUCGUUUUAUAGAACUGGCUGCCACAGAUUGUAGAUUGAACCUUGUGUAUGUACCAUACUUUUCUGUGUAUAAGACUAGGUUUUUUUUACUGGAAAAGUAUGUUUAAAAUUGGGGGUCUCCAAAAAUAGGGGGUGUCUUUUACAUGCGGGUGUGUUAUACAUGGAAAAGUACAGUGUAUACUCCCACUGCUUUGAUCAUUGGUUAUAAGCUCAGGUAUUAUUUAAAUAAAAAAAAUAGCCAGGAGAGCAAAAAGAAGUAGGUCUUCAGACAACGCAUUCUGGAAUUCACCAGAGAUCUGGCAAUAUAAGUCAGACUCUGAGGGCUGAAUUUUCCCUACCCUGCAUCACAAAGGCUGGAGAAGAACCUACUUCUUUCUCCAUCUAUCAUCUUUCUCCAUUUGUUAGUUAAUAUAUAAGAACCUAAAAACAGCAGAAGAGCCUUGCUGGAUCAGACUAAUGGCCCACAGCAUCAUGUUCUAAUUGUGUCCAACCAGAUGGAAAACCUGCAAAGAGGACCUGAGUGCAGCAACACUCCCCCAUUUGUGCAUGCCAGGAACUAGAGGUAGAACAUCGCCAUUAUGGCUAGUAGCCAUGACUAUUAGCCACUCAUAGCUACAUCCUCCAUGGAUUUGACUGCUCCACAUUAAAAGCCAUCCAAGUUGGUGGCCAUCAGUGGGAGCAAAUUUCAUAGUUAAAUUUUGUACUGUGUGAACAAGUAUUUGUCCUGAAUCUCUCAAAAUUCAGUUUUAUUGAAUGUCCCCAGAUUCUAGCACGUUGAGCACUUUCUUAAUACCAUGCAUAAAUUUAUACACCUCUAUCACCUUUUCGGUGAACUAACACUCCCCUACCCACCCAAAUAUAGCCUUUCCUUAUAGUAAAGUGGCUCCAAACCCUUGGGCCAUUUUUGUAGCUUUUUGCUGAAACUUUUCCAUGUCUGCAAUAUCUUUUUUGAGGUGAGCUGACAAGAAAUGUACACAGCAUUCCAAGUGUGAUCUCACUAUAGGUUUGUACAGCAGCAUUAGGGUAAUGGUCCCACAUCCAGAUGCUGCGCACAGAUCUAGAUCAGCUUAGCUUCAGCAUGAAUUGUGCAUGAAUAUAUGUACAUUUACCAUUCUGAACAGGAGGACUUCCUCUGUGAGAAAUGGUGUCUGGUUUGUAGUACAUCCAAGCACCAUGAGCUGUCUUUUUGUAUGUCAAGCUAGGGAAUUACGAACUUUACUUGGUGAGGAGAAUGGUGUAGCAUCGGUUGAUACUGUCAUUUUUCAGUGGUUCUAAAUGUUGUGGCAUGGACCUUUGGAGAGAGGUGACAUUGAUAGAACAGAUUGUAUAAGCAUUGGCCAAAUGUAUUGAAGUCAGUGGAGCAAAUGAGAGCUUUUUGAACAAUUUAAACUCACAUUUGGACAACUGCUAUGGGUUUUUGAUAUAAAAGUGCUUCUAGAAUCAAAGGAGGCUCCAUAUUGCAUUAGGAUUUUCUGGAGGAACAGAACGUGGUAUUUUGCUAAUAUUUUUGGGGAUUGGUGUGGUGUUUUGCUAACCAAACAGCGCGAGUUAAAAUCAGGAAAAAAAUCCUUAAAAUAUCCAUAUUUAGCUGCAGUGUUACUGGAGAAUCCUGCUUGGCAUUCAUUUGUUCAGUGAUUUUGGAAGAGUUCUAGGUCCACAGACCGUUCUUCAACUCAUUCUUCAGCUUCAAAAAUGAUGUGCCAUCCUUGAAAGUUAACAAAUGCGGCCUCCUGCGGCAAUAUCACUUUUACAAAUACACUUCAAAAAUUCAUUUCCUUUUUUUUGAAAAUGAAAGAGUAAACAUACAUCAAAGAGAUGUUUUUCUGAGUCCACAUCUUUUUCUUCCUUUAAAAAAAUACAAAAAAUACUUGUUUUUGUGGAUAGACCUAUCUUCCCUAGCACCACACCGUUCCAUUCUCUACAGGGAGCGGAUGGGGCUGGCAUUUUCUGUUGCUGUUUAUUACGUUGGGCUGGCUUUCCUACAUUCUCCUCUGUGGCAAAAUAUUUUAAGGAAUUCUGUUUGUCUCUUCAUAAUGAAUUGCUUUUUCUUUUCUUUUUUUAUCCCCCCUCCCUUUUUUAAGGGUUGAGAGAAUUUCAUUCUUUUCUCCCAGUGGCCAUACCUUGUGCCACAAAAAUGUCUCUUACAUGGUCAGAUUACCAGCAUCUUUGUGGUCAAUGACAUUACAUAGAGAUCAACCUCACUGGACAGCCAGCGUGGUGUAGUGAUUACCAGACUCGUAAUCUGGUGAACCGGGUUCGCGACUCCACUCCUCCACAUGCAGCUGCUGGGUGACCUUGGGCUAGUCACACUUCUCUGAAGUCUCUCAGCCCCAGAGUGUUUGUUGUGGGGGAGGAAGGGAAAGGAGAAUGUUAGCCGCUUUGAGACUCCUUCGGGUAGUGAUAAAGCGGGAUAUCAAAUCCAAACUCCUACUACUACUCCUCUUCUUCUUCUUCUUCUUCUUCUUCUUCUUCUUCUUCUUCUUCUUCUUCUUCUUCUUCUUCUUCUUCUUCUUCUUCUUUGAUUUGUCUUCCUGAAAGAGCCGCGUGCCACUUGUGUAAAUGUAAUACAAUUUGAAUAAACCUGGGGAAACCAUCUGGUUAUUAAGCAAGGGAAAACACGGCUUGAGCAAUUAAGACAACCCCGAUAUGACUGUAAUUCUGCUAACAAUGCAUUGUGAGUCAUACACAGGCAUCUGUCUUCUGUGUUGUGCCAAAUUAAACCAUUGGUCUUUCUAGCUCAGCACUGUUGGCACCCUUGAGGGACCCAGGAAGGAGUCUUUCUGAGUCAAACCUGGAAAUGCUAAGGAUUGAACCUGUGACCUUUUCCAUGUAAAACAUGAGCUUUGCCAUUGGGCUACAGCCUUUCUCCAGAGCUACUGUGCAAUGUUGGCUGGCUUACUGCUAUGGCCCAUCAGUUAUUCUGACCUAAAUGCACUACGUUAUAACAGUGAUGUGUUCUUGUUAAGUCUAUAGCUGGAACAAUGCUGUUGUCAUAAAUAAGUACUCCUCCUACCUCUUUGUGCUGGUCGAAGAGCAAAGCUUUCAGUUAAAUAAUUCUGAUUGGCAUGAUUGGGGAAGGGCCUUUUUACUGACAUACUGAUUGGGUUGCUCUUGUUCUUGUUUUUAUUAUGUAUUUUGUGUUUUUAAGUUGUGUUUUUAUGUUGUGAACCACCUUGAGACCUGCGGGUAUAGGACAGUAUACAAAUUUAAUAAAUAAUAAGAAUAAGAAUAAUACUGAUGUUAGUUUUCCAAAGUUUGAAAGUAACAUAGAAUGGGGCUAAUAGGGUCAGUGGUCUGACUCAAUAUAGAGCAGCACCCUUUGUGCAAGGGUUUAGAUGAACUACCCAACACCUCUAGAAAGAAACAGAUUCUACAUAUUUAGUUAAGGUCUUGUCAUUUUGAGAAGGACGGACUUUCUGAAGGACUGCCCCCUGGCAAUGUUUGACAGUAGACAUUGGCAAGGACAUACUUGGAGAGGUGAAUUAACCUCAUCACAAUGGUAAGGUGAAAGAAUUAGGUACCACCUUAGAGGUAGUUUGCAGAGAUUGCUUGUACAUGUACCAUUGGCUGUUGCUGGCUUGGACUGUUGAUUGCUAAGAAGAAACUAUGUUUUGUUGUGGACCUACAUGAUACAUACACUGUAAUGCAAUCUCAAAGUGGUGGCCCAUGCUAACUAGCUUGAACACAACCACCAGCCAGCGUAGUCUGCUGUUGGCAGCCAUAUUGCACAUUUUGAACCCAUCACUACCCCCUUAUCUUUGUCCUCUUGGGCAUGAUAUUAUCAGUAUAUCUGACCCAACAGGAGAAUAGGGCUAAUAAUAGUGUGCCAUUUAAGACAAAUAAACUGAUAGUCUCAAGCUAAAUAUUGCCAGAAUACAGUUUCACAAUUAAAACACAAUUAUAAAUAUCUAAAGUAAGUGGGCUGUUGGACAGGAACAACACAGUCACAAGAGACCUGCCUGUUUCUGCAGUUGUGCAAAAUGCAUCCAUAGUUCUUGAAUUUGAGAGGCAUUACAGUGCUGUUUGGUCUUAUACUCUGCCCUGUCUACUUUUCUCCUUGCUAUUUGUAGGUAGCCAUCAAAGGAUGUUCCUGUUGCACAUCAAUCCACACUGACUGCUAAAUGAGCCCCUAACAAUAUCAUUAUGGUUACGUGUUUGGUUUUCUUAAAAAAAAGAAAGAAAGACUUGGAAGACUUGUAGAGAGAGAAAAUAGCCACUUACACGAAACAGGAGGUGAAAAGCCUUGUUUCAAAAUAGUCUCGUCUAAAAUAAAACAUAGCGGUGAGUGACUUUCCAAAGCCCACAAUAGAGAACAAGUAUCAUGGGAUGGAAAGUGUGUAAUUGAAAUCUGUUGAUAGGAAUUCUUGUGAUGUUUAUGUACUCUUUCUCAGAAAUAAAUUAGCUUUGCUCUGCAGAAUGGGGGAAAAAGCAUUGUUAACAGUGCUGGUGUACUCCAGUGUUGGGAAAGCUGUUUCCUCCCCACGUACAUAUCAGGCAAGCAGUGAUGUCUCCCAAGCCAAUAAUGAUGAACAUAGGAAGAGUCCUGCUACAUCAGGCUAAUGGUCCAUGAUACCUAGAACCCUGUUUCUAGCAGUGAGUAGUCAGAUGUUUUGGGGAAGCCCACAAACACCAUGCAUUGUUUAUGGGUUUCCCCAAAACAUCUGACUGGUCACAAGCAACAGGCAACAGCCAUCCUUUGUCCGCCAGCAUCCUGUAUCUAGAGAUGCAUUGCUUCUGAACCUGUGCACUUCAUUUAGCUGUCUAAGCAAGCACGUAGCUGCCCAUCACAUCUUUUGGAAGCAAAUUCCAUAAGAUGCAUGUCAUAAUGAUUGGGGAUUACUGUUUCUCCCCUUUCACCCGAAUAUUCCUGCUUGGAAAGAGUGUCACUCAGGAUAAGUCACCUGCCAACCAUUAAGUGUGUGUCCCCAUGUAUUCACUUCUCAAGACCUUGGUGCAAGCCUGGAACACACUGAUUUUCUGGUGAUCAAAGGGAAAUCCAUUGCAAUAUCUAUAAAGUAUGUAAAUAAAUUGCUACAUAUUGUUCAAAAGGGUAGGUACUGUUCCGGUCCAAAGGUUUACAGGCUGGAGAAUGCUAAAGGAUUUAUUGUUUCUGUAGAACUUAUCAUGGUACAACUUCUUCACAAAUGUAGGCUGGUAAUCCACAAAGUUAUGAGGAAGAUCUGACCCAUCGUGACCAGCUAUUAGAUAUGUUCCAAGUGACAUAACUCACUGAGUACUGUUUGCCCUGGAAACUGGCAUGCUUUCUCGUUCUGGCCUUUUUGAGUGUCCUGCCAGAAGGGCACACCAUGACAUUGAUAGUUCGCAGAUCAUCCAUGCAUAGAGCAGACUGUUCUGCAACUAAAAUGAAAAGUAUUUGUCACCCUUCAGAGAGCAUGGGUAGCAAAGAAAAGUGUGUGUGGUGUGCGUGCUUGUGGCUUGGAAAUUACAAAUACCCUUUGCCAAUAAGUGAUUACAGUUUCAUCUAAUUGUUUGGCAGGCUUUUAAAAGUGUAUAAAAAGAUGCAGGCAAAGAUGAGUUAAGAAGCACAAGUCUCCAUUUCCUGUAGAAACUAAGCUUUGGACACUUAUGACUGCAUCCUCUGUCCCAACAUUCUUGAUUGGGUGGGGGCUAUGUUUUUGCUUAUGGUUCUCUGUAACUGUGCAUCCUGAGCAGCAAAGCUAAACUGCCCUUGUUAGGUACAGCGGUACCUCAGGUUAAGUACUUAAUUGGUUCCGGAAGUCCGUACUUAACCUGAAGCGAACUUUCCCAUUGAAAGUAAUGGAAAGUGGAUUAAUCCGUUCCAGGCAAUGAAAAGCACCCCCUAAAACAGCAAUUUAACACGAAUUUUACUGUCUAAUGAGACCACUGAUCCAUAAAAUGUAGGCAAUAAUCAAUGUACAGUGGUACCUCAGGUUAAGUACUUAAUUGGUUCUGGAAGUCCGUACUUAACCUGAAGCGUACUUAACCUGAAGCGAACUUUCCCAUUGAAAGUAAUGGAAAGUGGAUUAAUCUGUUCCAGACGGGUCCGUGGAGUACUUAAGUAGAAAGUACUCAACCUGAAGCUUACCUAACCUGAGGUAUGACUGUAGUUGUACCUGGAUGCCAAAUUUGUGGGCAGUAGAAGUUUCCUUGAGAUUGAAGAACUGGAUCUGACCUGAUCAAAUGCAUUUAAGUAUCCAAGUACAAUUCUACAAGGCAGGCAUUUGCUCAAACUGCUUGUAUUUUUUCACAUUUGUUAAAUCUGAGGGUUGUGUGGUGUAGGUGUGCUAAGAGAAUGAAUUGGGAAGAUCUGGUUCAUAUCUCACCUGAGCCAUAGGUGGCUUUGAGAAAUGUCUGCUGCCAAUCUACUCACGGGAAUAAUAGUUACCUGUUACCCAUUUUAUCAAUUUUCUCAGAUGUGGCAACCAGAAUUGGGUGCAGGUUUGCAGCAGACACAUUGCCUUGCAAAAGUACAGCUUUGCCAAGCAGAGGAAAAAUACAACAUAUGCCCAACAGAUACUGGCCCAACCAUAACACAGGGCUUCAUGUGUAUUUGGAGCUAAUGGUUGUAUCAUUGGGGCCAUUUGCCUUCUUGUUUUCUAGUUACAAAAUUCACCAAGUUCUGAAAUAUUGAUCUGGAAAGGAUUUGUUUUAUCACAACAGGCAAUCCUGUCUCAAACUCUUCUACUCUGUUUCCCUGUUAUUUAUUACAUUUAUAUAUCACCUUUCCUCCAAGGAUAUCAAGGUAGUAUACAGAUUUGAUCCCCCAUCUUCUCACCAAUCCUGAGAGACAGUGACAGUAAUCCAAGUUAAUGGAUGUAUAGGUGUUUGAACCCUGAUCUCUGUGAUCCUGGUCCAGCACUCUAAUCACUUCAGUAACUCAUAUAUUUAGCUAUUUGUAUUCAGGACUAUACAGCCCUCUCAAGGUGGUUCACAUUAUGCAACGAAAUAAAAGAAGAAAAUGCAAACUUCACAAUAGCGGUUUAAUCUAAAAACUCGGCAGUAAAAUAAUAUUAAAAUAGCUACAGUGGUUAAUUUGCACGAACCAGCCUUCAAUCAAUCAGUUAAAAAUAGGUGCAGAUGUAAAUUGACAGAUCUUUAGAGUUGAGAUAUGCAAACCUGAAUUGCAAAAGGCGAGCGAGGGCUUUUUUUGUAUUUUGCAUAUUAAGUGCAGUGGCAGCCAUAAAAAUGAUUUAUGAGCACAAUACAGAGAUGUCAUCUCUCUGUGCCAUAUAGGCAAACAAUUGAAGUUGAUUAAGAGUUAGUAGAUGAAUGAAUCUCAUUUCUCUUGUCAGGCAUGUUACUCAACUGAAACUCCCAACUACAUGUUAGAUUGAUUCUAUGAUUGUUUUCUCCAUUGAGUUUUUGUUUUUAUUUUAAACCAAAAGCAGACACAAAUAAGGGGCUUAACCUUUUCCUAUCCAGUCCUUUUUUACCCUUACCUUGAGAGAGUCAUAGUGGUCAGAGUGUAGGCUUGAUAGACCUAGAGAGACCUCAAAUGCUUGCUUCAUAAUGAAGUUUACUAAGUGACUUUAGUUCAUUCAUUCUCUCUCAACUUAACCUACCUCACAUGGUUGUUUUGGGGAGGCACACCUUGUACGGUAUCCUGAGCUCCUUGGAUGAAGAGUCGGAUUAAAUAAUAAAACUGGCUGAUGCAGAUUAAACACUGUGCAAGUGGAAAUCCUUGCACUAAUUGUAAGAGUGCAUUGGAUGCCACUCUUGGUUUCCACUAUCAGGAGUGUCCCCUGAUUAUAGAGUUGGGGCAUUCACCAGAGCAGCAUGAGAGGUGGUACAGGGGCUGCAGGAACCAUCCUGAAAACUACAGAUGGAGGACAGUGUACAAAUUUAAUAAAUGAUAAAUUAAAUAGUUGUUGCUAUUAAACUGAAAAUUGCCUCCUGCUUUCCUGAUGAUGGCAUUUUUCUACUGGAUCUUGGUCCCAUCCAUGAAGGGAUGGUGCCCUCUGUUAGUGGAUGUCUAGCUAGGAUCAAAACCACCCAUUUGUCCAGUACAAUGGAGGUUAACAGGCAGUAGUUCUGCUAUAGCUGUGUAAGGAACUUUAGGCUCCAGGAUAAUUGUGACUCUCUAAGCCUCUCUGUCUGGCCUUUUAAGAUCCUCCUCAGGUUCUUCGCUAGCACUGCUGGGUGCUCUUCUUGAGUUCUGUUGCUUGGCUGGAGUCCUUGAGCUUUGGGUUGCCUGGAUGGAGAAGUGUACCUAUGUUAGCAGAAACCUCUGUCUUUGUGUGGUUAAAAUUCACCUACUGUCUGUGCAAAUGUAUGAGUGCCAUUUGUAGCCCCACCCUUUUUGCCUCUGGCCCUGUCUACCCUUGGCUUGCAGCCCCUUGGAAGGGUGCCUAGAGGGAAUAUGGGUCCCUGGUUUCGGAAAAAGUGUACCCAUCUCUGCUCUGUAGUGCCUUUGCCAUUUCUGAAAGCUACAGCAUUGUCUUUUUCUUUUUAAAAAAUAAUUUUUAAAUUAGUUUUACAUAAAGUUAUACACAAUAACUAUAUCCUGUGCUUUUUCUCUAAAAAAUGUUUAGGGGUACUCUCAUUUUCCUACUCGUAUUGAAAUACUGCCCCUCAUUGAGGCCAAACUUAGAUUCACAAAAUGUUUAGGGGUAUGUGUACCUUCUGCCUAAGAUCUCCCUAGAAAAAAAAAGCACUGACCAUUCCAAAACAUAAAAAUAAAAAAGAUUCCUUAAGAUCUUCUCCCCUCCCUCCACGGGUUCCAUUUCUAAAGAUUUAUUCUCUUCCCCCACCCCACAUCUUUUUACCAUUAUCCAUCUAUUAUGUAAUUAUAGUAGCCAAAAUUCAUUUCACUUUACAAGUGUCAUUGUAUUCCUGCCAAUGAUUUCAACUUUCUACACUGGUCAUUUAAAUAUAUUAAAAAUUUAUUCCAAUCUUUUAAAAAUACUUGGUCUUCCUGGUUUCUGAUAUUUCCCGUUAGUCUUGUCAUUUCUGCAUAUUCCAUCAGUUUGGUCUGCCAUUCUCCUCUGAUCGGUACUUCGCCUUCUUUCCAUCUCUGGGCUAAAAGCAUUCUUGCUGCUGUCAUUGCAUACAUAAACAGUCUUUUAUCUUAUUUUAUUUUGGUAGUUCCUCACCUGUUAUACCUAACAGAAAAGCCUCUGUCUUUUAACGAAAGUUUUCUUAAACAUUUUCUUUAACUCAUUAUUUAUCAUUUCCCAGAAAGCUUUUACCAUCGCACAGGACCACCACAGGUACUCUCUUUCCUUUUACCUUUCCAGCACGAAUUUGAGCUAGUUCUAUACAUUUUCACAAUUUUACUCAGAGUCAGAUACCAGCAGUAGCUCAUUUUCAUAUAAUUUUCUUUCAACGAACAGCAAGCCAUAAACUUCAAAUCCUCUUUCCAUAACUUUUCCCCUGAUGAAAGUUGUAUAAUGUAUAUUGUAACCGAAAUUUCUUGCCCAAUGUAUCAUCACUGAUUUAACUUCUUCAUCCUUAGUAAACCAUUCCAAAAGCAAUUUAUACAUUUUUGAAAGUAAUUUCACAUUGUUUUCCAACAGAGAAAGCUACGGCAUUGUCGAUUCUCAUCAUUUUGAAACAAAGCUCCCAGUAAAUGUAAAUAACAUAUGGACAUGGUCUCUCUCUUUCUUUUUGGAAGGGUUGUGCAUCUUGUAGUUUGGGUAGCUGGAGGAGUUUGUGAAGGAGGAGAUGGUUGUGCAUAUAUCUGCAAGAUUGCAUUUUGCACUGAUACGGUGAAAACGUGGGUGGUGGAGCUGCCACUAAGGAAUAGAGAUGAGUGACAACCUCAAAUUAAGCUACCAUUUUUAGCAAGGGCUGGAAGUAUAGCAUAAGAAGAGCUCUACUGCAUCAGAUCAAAAGUCUGUCCUUCCUUCCUUCCCCCACUCCACCCAAGGAAAUCACAUGCCAUGUCUCCCCUUUUUGCACAUAUAGAGGCUCUGUGCAUAAGUUCCCACAAAUUCACAGGUGGCAGAGCCUGAGGGUGAAUCAGCAGUCCUCAAACACUUAUUUCUGCCUAAGAAUGAGCACCUAAACAAGGUUUUAAGGCUCUUAUUAAAUGAGCCGGCAUGUUCAAUCUUCCAAAAGUUAGCCAAAAGAUGUGGUAAUGUUUCAAACAGCGGGAAGAUCUGCAACAUAAUACCCCACAGAAUCAGUCAUCUGGCACAGUAUAGAGAAAAAGGGUAGCUUUGUAGUGUUUGAACACGUUUAUUCUAAUAUGUUCCAAACUAUUGACUAAAGUUAAGAGAUGGAGACUCGAGAGCAAGCUUGAAUUAAAAAUUCCUAUUGUGUGUAAUAAGCUCCUAGGCAGGAAGGCUUGAGGAGCUGAAUACUUAAACAACCAUUUGAUGCUUUCUUUGCUUAGUUGGUUAGAGGGUUAUGAAGCUCUAUACCAGUCUCCCCCAACUUGAUGACCUCCAGAUGUUGGGCUACAAUUCCCAUCAGCCCAGCAAGCCUGGACAAUGGUCGGGGUGAUGGGAGUUGUAGUUCAAAGCAUCUGAAGGGCUUCGGUUUGCAGAAGCCUGCUCUUCACAGUAACUGAGAUACCUUUAUGCUCCUAUCUUUAUGCAGCUACUUCAGUUCCUUUGAGGAUAGGGACCAAAGAAAUGCUUAGGAUUUACAGCAGGAGGGAAAGGUUUGAAAUCUAAAGGAAUCUUUCUUUAAUAUUUUGCAUUCCAGAAAAUUUAUUUUCAGAAUGAAAGUACCGUUAUUGGGCAGAUGUCUCUCUCCAUGGUAGUGCAUUUCCUGGAGAAACUUGUUUUCCCCAAGAACUCUUAGGAUUAUUUCCGGCAUUGAGGUAGAGAAUGUUUUUGGCUCCAUGGGCCGUAUCUUUAUCAGGAUUGGCUUCUUGAGCAGGGGAACCCACCUGUCGAUCACAUGACAUCCCAUGCUUGGCAGCUGGAUUGUCCCGUCCACCAGCCAAAAUCCUUUGGGUGGGAACCACGCUGCAAGGGACAUUGUUAGCCCCAUGUUCAGCACUUUGGGUCGCUCUAAGCACAGGCCUGGAUUGUUUCUUCCCCUUCCUGCCUCUUGAUGGGAAUGGGAAGAAUAAGGCUGUGUUUUAUAGGCUUUAAUUGAUUGUUUGUUUGAUUGAAUUUAUAUACCACCCUUUACCCAGAUGUCUCAGGGUGUUUCACAAAAAAAAAUCACAACAUAUAAAAAAUCAAAAUAAGAACACUUCAGUGGUACCUCUUGUUGUGAACGGGAUCCGUUCUGGAGGCCCAUUUGCAACAUGAAAAGGCCCUAGAAGGGGGGGGGAGGUUUGCUAGACAUCCAUUUAGCCUUCUCUCUCGCUCAUACUGAAGAAAUUCUGCAAACAGGUGCACUGUAUGUUAUUCCAAAUUGUUGUCUCAAAUUAUUAUAAAGUCAGCUAGCAAAUAUUUCCCACUUCCCUUGAAAAAGAGAGGAAUUCUCAUUUCUCUGUGCUGCAUCAUAUUAACAAGCGCCAUCUUGUUUCUUCUUGUUUCUUCUUUUAUGACAAAGUAAUUGCUUGCUUUACAGAAGGUUCUAGGUUGCGUUUUUAUCAUAUCCAACUGCAAAGGAUGUUAGGCAGCAAGACUGCAAGGACUUCUGCCUGAAACCAUAGAAAACAACUGUCGGUCACUGUACACAACGUGAGCCAACAGGCAGCUUCAUAUGUCCAUAUAUUGUCCAAACAAUUGUCUACGGCCUAAUUUUAUUUCACUAGUGGAUGAACUGCUGUCACUUUCCCCCAAGGGAGAUUGUGAUAUAUCUUCUGCAAAUGUUUAAGCGAGUGAGGUUGUUCAUCAUCAAAGCAUCCAUCACCAAUACAUGCCAUGUACCUCUUCUCUAAACCUCUGCAGUGGGUACGUCAUUAUUCCAAUUUUUGUGAGUGGUACUUCGGCUGCUGUUAUCAGAUUCUUUACAAGGUCCCUGUGAUCAUUCUUUAUGCUGUUCUUGGCAUAUUCUAACAGGAAUUCUUGUGAGGUUUUUCCAAUUUUGUAACUUAUUAUCUCUCUGGUGUUUUUCUCCACAUCCUAUCAAUAUUUUUAAUAUAGUGGUGCUGCUGCCAAGUGUAUCUAGGGGCCUUGCACUGCUCUUUUGACACCAAUAUUUUUGAAGGUGCCAUCAUCAUCAGCAUUAUUAUUUUUAAAAAAAUGAAAGUUGAAGUGUAAUUCCACUUACAUAGAAUCUUAGAGCAGUUUUUUUUCAUUGCCAUACUGACUGUGCUUUUUUCUUUUGAACAAGUAUAAUUCUGGCAAGAUGCUGAAAUUUAAAUCUAGUAUCUCUUAUUUCUGCUAUUGAAUUUCUUUUACUCUUUAUAUAUUUUUGAUAGCAUUCCUGAUAUCUUUGUAAACUAAUUCAGAUUUUUCUAAGCGCUUCAAGAAUUUUAACCCUGCACAGUAGAUAAAAAUAUUAAAAGAAACAACACAACACCCAGAACAAUGAUGCAUUAAAAUAUUCAAUAAGCAGCACAUUCCAUUAUUGAUAUAAAUCAGUAUCAAUACUUUACAUUGUAAAGUUUACACCAGCCUUUACACUGGCUGAGGCUUUAGGCGGGUUGCAGUACAAAACAUCUUGCGGGUGCCACGUUGGAGAAAAGUUUAAACAGAGAAUACUACAGUUGCAGGUGAAAAUGAAAAGUAAAUGUCAACGUUGGUACAGGGGGUUGUUGUUGUUUAGUCGUGUCUGACUCUUCGGGACCCCAUGGACCAGAGCAUGCCAAGCACUUCUGUCUUCCACUGCCUCCCGCAGCUUGGUCAGACUCAUGUUGGUAGCUUUGAGAACACUGUCCAACCAUCUCGUCCUCUGUCGUCCCCUUCUCCUGGUGCCCUCCAUCUUUCCCAACAUCAGAGUCUUUUCCAGGGAGUCUUCUCUUCUCAUGAGGUGGCUAAAGUAUUGGAGCCUCAGCUUCACGAUCUGUCCUUCCAGUGAACACUCAGGGCUGAUUUCCUUCAGAAUGGAUAGGUUUGAUCUUCUUGCAGUCCAUGGGACUCUCAAGAGUCUCCUCCAGCACCAUAAUUCAAAAGUAUCAAUUUUUCGGCGAUCUGCCUUCUUUAUGGCCCAGCUCUCACUUCCAUACAUCACUACUGGGAAAACCAUAGCUUUAACUAUACGGACCUUUGUUGGCAAGGUGAUGUCUCUGCUUUUUAAGAUGCUGUCUAGGUUUGAGGUUUGUCAUUGCUUUUCUCCCAAGAAGCAGGCGUCUUUUAAUUUUGUGACUGCUGUCACCUUCUGCGGUGAUCAUGGAACCCAAGAAAGUAAAAUCUCUCACUGCCUCCAUUUCUUCCCCUUCUAUUUGCCAGGAGGUGAUGGGACCAGUGGCCAUGAUCUUAGUUUUUUUUGCUGUUGAGCUUCAGACCAUAUUUUGUACAGGGGGUAGGAUUCACCAAACAAGCCCCAACAUCUGAAUCCCUGCAUAAGGACUUUCCCUUAAGGUCCCCUGAAACUGGCUCAGAGGAAUUGGAAGAACACCCCCCAAAUAAAAUAGUGCAUGGGGGGAGACAGAGGGGGAUCAUUCCAUCUGGCAAGCUGUCGUGCUUAUGUAUGAUUGGAAGAGGGCAACAACACUGAAUUCUACCCAGGGCCAAUGAAAUAGGUGAGAGAGAUUAAAAUAAGAUGAUACCCUUUAUUUUGCAUACAGAAGCUGACUAGAUAGGCUGAUUCAUACUUUGGUGGUGGAAGAGGACACUCCAUGGCACCUAAGGGAAGGUUGCUACAAUGAAGUGCGGGUGGCGCUGUGCUCUAAACCACCGAGCUCCAUUUGUUAUCAAUGUAUACUCUAACAUCUAUUUAACAUCUAUUUAGUUUCAGGAUUGUGUCGGCAUUGUCUAGAACCUAGGAGUAUCACAAUAGCUUCUAAGCCACAGGCCAUAUCGCACGCUAUAAAAUACUCAUAUGGAGAACACUUUUAAAAAAUCCCAAGGGUGUGUGUGUGUGGGGGGGGAGAUGGUUGGGAAUAAAAAUGGGAUGCAGUGUCUCUUUUCCUCCCCCAACCAAACAGGAAGGAAGAGGCUUGUGGACUUGCACUCCACUAGAUCAACAGCAGUUGAGAGGAGGGUUCUUGGACUUGCCAAUCAGAAGGUUGGCGGUUUGAAUCCCCCCGACGGGGUGAGCUCCCAUUGCUCUGUCCCAGCUCCUGCGAACCUAGCAGUUCGAAAGCAUACCAGUGCAUGUGGAUAAAUAGGUGGAGGGAAGGUGAACGGUGUUUCCGUGCACUCUGGUUUCCAUCACGGUGUUCCGUUGUGCCAGAAGCAGUUUAGUCAUGCUGGCCACAUGACCCAGAAAGCUGUCUGUGGACAAACGCCUGCUCCCUCGGCCUAAAAGCAAGAUGAGCGCUGCAACCCCAUAGUCGCCUUUGACUGGGCUUAAUCAUCCAGGGAUCCUUUACCCUUUACCUUACAGUGAAGUCAGGUGGAAAUUUUUUCAGAAUUCCCCCCGUGCUUUAUUUCCCCAUGAAUUAUUAUUAUUAUUAAUUUCAUAAGAUCAUUAGCUACAGUAAAUGGAACCAACUUCAAAUACUAUAUUAGACAAGCUUGGCCAUUUCAAAGUUUUUCGCUUUGUUUCCUAAAUAGAGAUAACAUGCUAAAUGAGAGCAUGCUUAAGGACAUCCAACUGUCCAUUUUUUUUUCUUGAAAACCCAUAUUAUUGGUAGGCUAAUUUAGGGGUUGCAGAACAGGCUGUGUGGCACAUGGUAUACUGGCCUCCAGCAGAAUGGAGCGCUGUCCUCCAGCACCUGCCACCUGAAGCGAUCGCCUCAGUAUAUCUAAUAGUAGAACCAGCCCUUUCCAGGCUUGAUAACACUAUUAAGAAUUCUUGAGGUUGUCCCUCAACACAGAUAAAUUUAUGAAGCUAGGCUCACCAUGCUGAUUGCAUCUUUUAUUUGCUGGUAACAAUUAUUAUAAUUGAUUGUUCACUGCAAAUUGGUCUCUGAGAUAAAUAAGAUCCAGAAUAAGGGAUGAGUUGAUUAGAGUUAUAUUCUAGAGUCUGGUUUGAUUUUUUAAUGGGGGAAGGGAAUUGAGAGUUCCACAAAGGUUAGCUAAAAAUCCUGUCACCCCUCUAGACACUUUGCAAUAUAAUUACAGCCUCCUGUAAAUUGCAUUGACAAGCUGGCACAAUGAUGCACCUUGAAAAUGAAUGAAUGCAAUGAUGGAAUGUAAACAUUUCCAAACAUCUGCAGUGAUCUGGGCCAGAUGUAUACCAGCAAGCAGGGAGAUAACAGAGAGACAGUGCCAUGCUUGAUUUCUCCUUGAAUCCAAGGCUGAGGCUAUGGGAGAAACAAGACCCUUUUGGCGUGUUAAUGCUGUGAACCUUGCCAUCAUAGGCUCAGGUUUAAUAUACGCAUAAAUAAGCCACAUAUCAUAAAGACACCACAGUCUGCACUGUGCCUCAUUCCAAAAGAAAUAUAAACCCUGGGUAAGCGCCUGGAACCCCUGGAAUCUUGCACCGCUCGGAGAUUGUGGUGGCGUGAAACAAUAAUAUUCAUUAAUGUCAAGAAUGCAUUCAUUAUAUUAUUUCCUGCAGUACAAAGAUAUUAUUUUAACAGAACAAAUAGCCAACAAAGCAAACCCCCUUUCCACAUUGUAACAACAACAACUACCAAAAACCCCCACUUUGCACAAGCAUAGUUUCUUUCCUUGAGAUUUGCCUCUGGAUGAAAGUGGGAAGUGUUCUCUACAGCUCCUUAUACCUAUGUCUAGGUAUUGGUAGUUUUAUGGGCCUAGUUGAUGACUCUUUUGGGGGGGGGGAAAUGGGUUCAUUUACAAUGGUCUAUUGCAAAAAGGAAUAAAGGAAAAUCAUUCUCUGUAAAUCAUUAGAGGAAUGUUGGUUGAUUGUAUCACUCGAUCUUUUUUGUGAUUGUUUCCAUUACGGUUUCAUUUGGAGGCAGAAAAUUUCCAAUUUGUCUAGUCCUGUGUGUCCCAUCCAUCAUCUUGGUGGUGUUGAAGGGUGCUUUUUGUUCCCUUGUAGUUAAAAAUGGCUUCAGUUUAGGAAGUUUCAUCCAGAAGCAUACUGAUUAUGAUUGUAAAAUUUCCACCACAAACAACGAUAACUCUGAAAAGUAACUUUUUCCAGCAAUUGUCUCCUGGAAGUAAAGCUGCCGAAACCGUUUUUCUUCUUUGCUCUUGCAUGUCAACACGUUUGGCUUAUUUUGAAAGCACUUCAGGGUCUGGCAACGAUAUGGUGCUUACAACAAAGCAAGUGGAACAGCGGAUGCAAAGCCUGGAAUGGAUAAAAGGAAGGUUCAGAAUUCCUUUAGAAAUCUCAAAUAGAACUUGGCAAACUAUAGCAAGUGGCUUCCUAUCGUAGCUAGACAGGAAGUGUCAUAUUUGAUAAGUAGCAUUUGAGCUUUGAAGCAGGAGUUUACUCUUUGGGAGAGAUUUCCCCCCUAUUGUUAAGUGGAGACGAAACAAUCCCCUGGCAGUAAAAUUUUCUCAAAUGUGAAUCAGCAAGCUAAAGGUUGUGAGAACUGUUCAUUCAGAAUUAGAAAAAUUGGCAAGCGUGCAUCACCAUCUUAGGCAAGUUUAUUCAGAAGUACAUACCCACUGCACUAAGUGGGGGUUUGCUUCCUAGUUAGUGAAUUUAAUGUUAUAGCCCUAGCAUAUUUCUUGCUUAAUUCUGCAAUAUCCAUAUUUGAUCAGGUAGCAUCUUCAGGAGAAGCGUGGCCUCAUAGCUGAAUGUUACCCAUGUACCAUGUACAUCAAUGAAAGAUCUAAGAAUGAUAUUGAUAGAAGCUGGACUAUACUGGCCUCGGUUGCUACCACAAUUAGUGGGCAAAUGCUGCUUGUACAACAAGCAAAUAGAGAUGCUUAGAAAUGGGAUACAGCAGUAGCCCCAUUAUCCCCAGACCCAGAGAACAUGACAUUGGCUAGUAUUUUAGAGAUGCAGUCAGAUAAUGGCAUGUGAUUGUAUCAUGGCUUAUGGCUUUGUUUUUUGUUUUUGCUUAGUCAUGGGCUUGCAUCUUUGAUUUUUGGGGUUGGGAACACUGGCUGAGAUUUUUCCAUAGCACCUCAUUAACAGCAGAUGUAUCUACACCCCCCCUAUUCCCUUGAAAAUUAACUUAAGAUAUAUAUAUAUAUAAUCUUGGUAGGUGUUGGGAUAUUAUUUAAUAGAACGAACAUAAUGUGUCAUGCAUUUACCUUCUGCUCAGGGUGUUCCCUUCAGGUUUCUAAAAUCUUGCAAGUGUUCACUGCAAACUAGAAAAUGGAAUUUCAAUAAGAGAAAAAGAAAUUGGUCCCCCAAGGGUCAGUUGUAUCCAUAGUCAGUGUUAUCUUUCUGUCUGGACUACAGUGAUGAAUGCAAUUCCUUGAUGGAUCAUAGUUUUAAGGCCAGUGGACUUUGAUCUGCAGCCUGGCAGCACAGACUUUCUCUAGUGCCCUAGGGCAGGUGCUUGAGACCUUGAGAUUCCUUUCUUCUUCUUUAAAGAAAGCCUUUAGCCCUCCUAGGAAAAAGUUGUGUGUGGGGGAGGGGAGUGCAGGUACCUUCUAAGUGAUUUCUGUGAGUGUGAUGUGACCAGCUCAAUGUGCUUAACUAGAUGUGCUUAAUGUUAUAUGAACUUGAUGGUGACCCUGGAUAGCUCAGUUGGUUAGAGCGGGUCCCCAAACUAAGGCCCGGGGGCCGGAUGCGGCCCAAUCGCCUUCUACAUCCGGCCCAUGGACGGUCUGGGAAUCAGCAUGUUUUUACAUGAGUAGAAUGUGUGCUUUUAUUUAAAAUGCAUCUCUGGGUUAUUUGUGGGGCAUAGGAAUUUGUCCAUACUUUUUUUUUUCAAAAUAUAGUCCGGCACCCCACAAGGUCUGAGGGACAGUGGACCGGCCCCCUGCUGAAAAAGUUUGCUGAGCAUAGUGCUGCUAACGCCAAUGUUGCAGGUUGGAUCUGUAUAGAACAGCUGCAUAUUCCUGCAUUUCAGCGGGGUUGAACCAGAUGGUCCUCAGGGUCCCUUCCAACUCUACAAAUGUAUGAUUCUGUGAUAUCUGAUUUGUCCUCAAACAGAGAUUUUCAUUGUUAGCUUUGGUUUCACUCCCUUCACCAUGUCUUAUCAACUGAUGAGAUGUGCUUAGAAAAUCAUACGCUUCCAAAGGUAGAAGGAAAUGGAAAAAGCUGGUCUCGGUGCCUGUUUCGCUCUGGGUUUUCCCCUUGAGUGAACCUGACUUCUAGUGGGACCCUGGUGGGUUGAUUUUUGAUGUGUUGCAUCAUGGCUAUCUUGAGAUGGGGAUGCUGACAAUGCCAUGGCCCUGCUGUGUCUGACUCACGGGUUAACAGGAUUUUUCUCUGCCUCCCCUGAAUAGGAAAGUGGCUCAGGUUCACUGAGGCUGUAACAGCAGGUGUAAGUGAUCAUAGGUGAUAAAGAUUCUCAGAUGCAUACCCAUGGCUUGCCACGCAGGGGCAUUAUGUGAGAGGUGCCGGGGGAUCAUGGCCCCUGGUGCACAAUUUUUGAGGGUGCACAGUCCAGGUGUUCCUCUCUGCCGGUGUCACCACAUCAGGGGAAUCGCCUGCCAAGGGCUGCAUUGGCCAGCUGGGCUCCCCCCCCCCCCGCAUGGAUGGGCAGGCAGCUCAGCACAGCCUCACUUGGCUUAGGUGGGAGUGGGCUCAUUCUGGCAGCAUUGGAGGAGAGGGUUGGGCUAGCAGGCUCCAUUCACCCUCCAUACCCCCUCGCCCAAUGCCUAUGCUCGUGCGCCUCACCUAACUCCUGUGCACAUGCCCCAGGCGACGGCAAGCGAUGCUACGCCACUGUUGCCACACAGAGAUUUUGAGGUGUCUGCCUUAUAAUUCAUGGUUAUUGCUUUACCAAAGUUGUUGGCCGCAUGCUGGUUGUUUUCAAAGGAAUUCUUUCUUCUUCUUUGGCAAUCACUCAUAGCCGAGUAAGAUUGUCUUCCAUAAACACGGUUUUAACAAUGAGUCUGUAAGUGACUGUGGAGGCCAAUUCUGGAACCACAUGACUUUCCACAGUGAGGACAUUGGUUACAAGAACCACCACCAAGUUGCUCUAUAUAUCCCGCUUGCAAGUUUCCCACAGGCAUCUUGUUAGCCACUGUAAGAAGAGGAUGCUGCACCUCAGAUGGACCAUUAGCUGGAUUCAGCAGGCUCUUCCUAUAUUUUUAUGGCUGUCCCAAGUUCACCUGUGAGCUUCAUGUGGCUGAGUGGAGUUUUGAACCUUGGUCUCCUUGUAUCUCCAUUACUCCAUAUCAGCUCCCCUCAAGACUGAAGCUCCCAGUAUAUGCAUGUCUCAGGAUUAGCUUUAAAAUGUUCUCAUCAAACUGGCCUGGCAGCUGCCAAGAAGCGGUGCUAACUGAAUUUAUAGAGACAUGUUCUCUAUUUUAUAUGCACUCAUCUGAACAACUGUAUCCAUUUGGAGGCUUAAACACACUGCCCUUCCACAUCAUGUAUUCUCCUUACUUAGCGGUUUGUCUCGGAUAAAAAAGAAGAAACAGUUUAAUGCAGCCAUCAAACACAAGGUGACCCCUAUUAACAGCUCUGAUUUCCAUAGUUUCCAGAUUUUAGAUCCUGGCUUUUGUUCCAGGCUUCCAAUCUUCAGCCUACAGACAUUUUUAAUUCCCACUCUCCACUCUAUGCCUACCAUUCAGCUUUCCCUCCUCCGUACAUAGCACAAUGCUGCUUUUUGGCUGUUCGGAGAGAAUUAAAUUGCAAGAAUAAAAAUUCCAUCUUAAAAGCAUACAAGAUGCCAUUCAAUGAGUUUUAGUCAACACAAUGCAAUAAUGCAUAGCUUUGUGCUUACAAGUCAGGAGCCAGGUUCUUACACCAAUUGUAACAAUCAAUUUCUCAAAUGUGGCAAAGAAAGGUCACAUCUCACUUCUUAUGAAUCCAUGCCUUUCCCUUUGUUGGGCUUGAAAAUAAUACUUCUCAAAUAAUCAUCCUCAAGCUGCAGCUUGUGGUUCAAGAAAGUGUAGUUCACAAGUAGUUUUUUGUUGUUGUUGUUGCUGCUGCUGUUGGAAUUGUUGCCAAUACUAAUAGGGGAUUCAAGUGAAAUAUGCAACAAAAAGUUGUGGGGUACCUCCCACUCCUGUGUGUGCAGUUUGUUCGAUGGUAAUAAUGGUAGCUUCCUCUUAGUGCUUGCGAGAUUCAUUUGAUGGUGAUGUGGAAAAGUUUCCAACCACAUUCUCUGGUGAAAAGCCUGGGACUUCACAGCCGCAUGUACAAGAAAUGUUCUGCUGGUCAUUUGACAUAAUAUGCCAGUCAAAUUCAUGAUUUUAGGGCUCAAUUCAGACAGAGCAUUUCCCACACAGCAGUUCUCCUCCACAUCUCUGCACAUGGUGGGUGAAGAAGAAGAAGAAGAGUUUGGAUUUGAUAUCCUGCUUUAUCACUACCCUAAGGAGUCUCAAAGGAAUCUCCUUUCCCUUCCUCUCCCACAACAAACACUCUGUGAGGUGAGUGAGGCUGAGAGACUUCAGAGAAGUGUGACUAGCCCAAGGUCACCCAGCAGCUCCAUGUGGAGGAGCGGGGACGCGAACCCGGUUCACCAGAUUAUGAGUCUACCAUUCUUAACCACUACACCACACUGGCUCUCAGGAGGAGGGUUCUGAACCCUGAGGAGGGUUCUGAACCCUGAUAACCUCUCUCUCUCUCCCCCCUCAUCUCUCUCUCUCUCAACAACAUUCUUCUGUCUUUAAUAAAUGCAGUGCCACCGUGGUUUUCCUUGGGAGUUGUGAGGUAGGGCCUUGCUGUUCCAAUUUUACAGAGUGCUAUACAUCCGUCAUCACAGCUAUCUUUACAAGAACCUUGUGAGGUUCUGUCAUGAUUAUUAUCCUCUUACUGCAGGGACUGAGGCUUAGAGACUAGUGAGUUGAUGGCUGCGGUGAAAUAUGGAAGCGGUCCUUGGCAGCACAUCGUCUUAGAUACUGUGCUCUGCCAAUUCUAGCAAACGUAAGAGCAUGUGGCAUUAAUCUUCACAAAAUUAUAUCUGAAUGGCCUCACAAUGGUUGAAAAGGAGUAAAGUCGGUUACUGGUCAAUUUUAGAAAUGCUAUUAUCUGAACCACAUCUGGACAUUGGGAAAUAGCGAUGAAAUGGAACUGAGCAAAACCUUUUAGUAGGUCACCCCCUGGUAGGCUGAACUCCACACACCUCAUCACAAAGUGACGUCAGAUGGCACCCCAAAUCAAGUCAACUAAAAGGAUAAUCUAUUAACACCAGCUGUAUUUUUUGUAAUGGCUAUAUGCAGUGUUUUUUUCUGGGGGGACGCAGGGGUAUGCAUACCCCUAAACAUUUUGUGAAUAUAAGUUUGGCCUCAUUGAGGGGCAAUAUUUCAAUAUGAAUAGGAAAAUGAGAGUACCCCCUAAACAUUUUUUUAAGAAAAAAAAGGACUGGCUAUAUGGACAUGGAAAAGACACAGGCCCUGGAAGUUGAAAAUUAGAUUCUUUAUUCCAAAGGAUAGGUAAGUAAAUAAGUGCCUUUAAAAUGCAGUUGUUCAGAAUUUGAAAGCAUACAUAUGCCUUUUUAAAACCAUCACUGCUCCAUACACCUCACUUCAGAAACCCAACUAGCCAGUCUUAUUGAUUACAAGGCUUUCUUCAGGCAUUUUGAAGGGAGACUUGUAACUGAACAAAGCAUUUUUCAAAAAAAUAAUCUUUAAAAAAACAUUGCUUGUGAACGUCACAAAUGCAAACAUAACAAUAUGUGGAUGACAACUUCUAAUAUACAGCACCGUAUUUUUCGUUCCAUAAGACACACAUUUUUCCUCUUAAAAAGUAAGAGGAAAUGUCUGUGCAUCUUAUGGAGCCAAUGCAUGGUCCAUGGAGCCAAUGCGUGGUCCCUGGAGCCGAAUUGCCCAGGGGCUAAAGAAAGGUCAUGCUUUUUUU